rnacentral:rRNA from 1 species
GACGAACGCUGGCGGCGUGCUUAACACAUGCAAGUCGAACGAAGUGGCGAAAGGGUGAGUAACGCGUAAUCAACCUGCCCUUCAGAGGGGGACAACAGUUGGAAAUGACUGCUAAUACCGCAUACUGAAGGAGGGGAUUGCGUCGGUUUAGCUAGUUGGAGGGGUAACGGCCCACCAAGGUGAUGAUGAGUAGCCGGUCUGAGAGGAUGAACGGCCACAUUGUGACUGGGACACGGCCCAGACUCCUACGGGAGGCAGCAGUGGGGAGUCUUCCGCCAUGGACGAAAGUCUGACGGAGCAACGCCGCGUGAGUGAUGACGGCCUUCGGGUUGUAAAGCUCUGUUAUUCGGGACGCGGUACCGGAAUAGAAAGCCACGGCUAACUACGUGCCAGCCGCCGCGGUAAUUC